GAAAGACAAAAUAGAGACAUGAACAUACUGUGGUGAAUUUGGGCGUAGCCUCGACCGGGGAACUGGAACCCGGGUCCCUGUGAGCGACAGUAACACAUCUUAACUGUUACACUGAGAGAUCCAAACCCAUUGACGAGGUUGCUAGGUACACCAAGGUUGCUAGGUAUACCAAGGUUGCUAGGUAUACCAAGGUUGCUAGGUAUACCAAGGUUGCUAGGUAUACCAAGGUUGCUAGGUAUACCAAGGUUGCUAGGUAUACCAAGGUUGCUAGGUAUACCAAGGUUGCUAGGUAUACCAAGGUUGCUAGGUAUACCAAGGUUGCUAGGUAUACCAAGGUUGCUAGGUAUACCAAGGUUGCUAGGUAUACCAAGGUUGCUAGGUAUACCAAGGUUGCUAGGUAUACCGAGGUUGCUAGGUAUACCGAGGUUGCUAGGUAUACCGAGGUUGCUAGGUAUACCGAGGUUGCUAGGUAUACCAAGGUUGCUAGGUAUACCGAGGUUGCUAGGUAUACCAAGGUUGCUAGGUAUACCAAGGUUGCUAGGUAUACCAAGGUUGCUAGGUAUACCGAGGUUGCUAGGUAUACCGAGGUUGCUAGGUAUACCGAGGUUGCUAGGUAUACCAAGGUUGCUUCAAUACGGUACACUCUACAGUCAAGCAAACAUUUGCAAGGCUCAUGGUUAUAUGAUGUCAAACUCAAGAGAAGAACUCUCCACAUUUUUUCUCAGAUGCAAUAGAUUUCUGUCAAGAUGUUUCCAGAUCAAAAUCUGAUGUAUAAUAAAAAAAGAAAACAUUCACAAGCAGUCCUCAAAAGAGAUUUCUGACUGAGAUUAUAUUCAGGGCUUGCCUGAUUGUUAGUCUCUGUUCAGCAUUUACAUUCCCCUCGUUGUACUCGGUGUCAUUUGCCAAAGAUAGCUGUGGGAGUUAUCGAAUCAGGAUCAAAUCCUCUCAUCUCCUCAAGCUCAUUAAUGACAGGAUGUUCAUAUUUGAAGAAAGACCAGUCUCUUUGGCAAAUGACAAUGUGUACAAGGAGUGUAA